rnacentral:rRNA from 1 species
UGCUCUUAUGAAGUUAGCGGCGGACGGGUGAAAGCACGUGGGUAACCUGCCCAUAAGACUGGGAUAACUCCGGGAAACCGGGGCUAAUACCGGAUAACAUUUUGAACUGCAUGGUUCGAAAUUGAAAGGCGGCUUCGGCUGUCACUUAUGGAUGGACCCGCGUCGCAUUAGCUAGUUGGUGAGGUAACGGCUCACCAAGGCAACGAUGCGUAGCCGACCUGAGAGGGUGAUCGGCCACACUGGGACUGAGACACGGCCCAGACUCCUACGGGAGGCAGCAGUAGGGAAUCUUCCGCAAUGGACGAAAGUCUGACGGAGCAACGCCGCGUGAGUGAUGAAGGCUUUCGGGUCGUAAAACUCUGUUGUUAGGGAAGAACAAGUGCUAGUUGAAUAAGCUGGCACCUUGACGGUACCUAACCAGAAAGCCACGGCUAACUACGUGCCAGCAGCCGCGGUAAUACGUAGGUGGCAAGCGUUAUCCGGAAUUAUUGGGCGUAAAGCGCGCGCAGGUGGUUUCUUAAGUCUGAUGUGAAAGCCCACGGCUCAACCGUGGAGGGUCAUUGGAAACUGGGAGACUUGAGUGCAGAAGAGGAAAGUGGAAUUCCAUGUGUAGCGGUGAAAUGCGUAGAGAUAUGGAGGAACACCAGUGGCGAAGGCGACUUUCUGGUCUGUAACUGACACUGAGGCGCGAAAGCGUGGGGAGCAACAGGAUUAGAUACCCUGGUAGUCCACGCCGUAAACGAUGAGUGCUAAGUGUUAGAGGGGUUUCCGCCCUUUAGUUGCUGA